rnacentral:rRNA from 1 species
CGAACGAUGAACCGCUUUCGGGCGGGGAUUAGUGGCGAACGGGUGAGUAACACGUGGGCAAUCUGCCCUGCACUCUGGGACAAGCCCUGGAAACGGGGUCUAAUACCGGAUAUGACUGUCCGCCGCAUGGUGGAUGGUGUAAAGCUCCGGCGGUGCAGGAUGAGCCCGCGGCCUAUCAGCUUGUUGGUGAGGUAGUGGCUCACCAAGGCGACGACGGGUAGCCGGCCUGAGAGGGCGACCGGCCACACUGGGACUGAGACACGGCCCAGACUCCUACGGGAGGCAGCAGUGGGGAAUAUUGCACAAUGGGCGAAAGCCUGAUGCAGCGACGCCGCGUGAGGGAUGACGGCCUUCGGGUUGUAAACCUCUUUCAGCAGGGAAGAAGCGAAAGUGACGGUACCUGCAGAAGAAGCGCCGGCUAACUACGUGCCAGCAGCCGCGGUAAUACGUAGGGCGCAAGCGUUGUCCGGAAUUAUUGGGCGUAAAGAGCUCGUAGGCGGCUUGUCACGUCGGUUGUGAAAGCCCGGGGCUUAACCCCGGGUCUGCAGUCGAUACGGGCAGGCUAGAGUUCGGUAGGGGAGAUCGGAAUUCCUGGUGUAGCGGUGAAAUGCGCAGAUAUCAGGAGGAACACCGGUGGCGAAGGCGGAUCUCUGGGCCGAUACUGACGCUGAGGAGCGAAAGCGUGGGGAGCGAACAGGAUUAGAUACCCUGGUAGUCCACGCCGU